UGGGUGUUGGUGGUCGGCUGUUAUUUUUCAGAAAUAAGUUGAAUAAUCAAUCAUAUUUGGUAGACUCCGGAGCCCAAAUUAGCAUACUACCUUUGUCUCAAAUCUUGAAAUCAACCAGGGUGGGUUCCCCUUCCCUUGUGGUGGCCAAUGGUUCUACUAUUCGUGCUUUCGGUUGCACCUCACAUACCCUCAUUUUGGGGGGAAGAACGUACCGGUGGAACUUUUACUUAGCCGAUUUGAAUCAGGCCAUUUUGUGGGCGAUUUUCUCCGAUCUAACAACUUGAUUUGGCCAACCAUCGUCUUUUUGAUCCCAUCUCACGUAAUUGUGUGAAGGGUCAUGUUGGUAGAGCGGUGGCACCUUCAUUGACCGUAAUCCAACCAGUUCCACCUGGCCGGUAUGAUGUACUUUUGGAUAAGUUUCCCGAACUGCUUACACCGAAUUUUGCUGAAGUCGUUCCCAAACACGGAGUGUUUCACCACAUUCCGACUACAGGACCCCCAGUUCAUGGCAGGGCUCGUCGCUUAUCCUGUGAAAAAUACAAGGCAGCCAAACAGGAUUUUAAAGUCACGUUAGACCUGGGGAUUGUCCGCCGCUCUGCUAGUAACUUUUCAUCCGCUCUUCACGUCACACCAAAAGCUGAUAACUGCUGGCGUUUGGCUGGAGACUACCGUGCUCUCAACAACAACACCAUCCUCGAUAGAUACCCCGUUCCACAUAUCCAAGAUUUCGCGGAUGGUCUCCAUGGUUCGGUCAUCUUUUCAAAAGUGGAUUUAAUGAGGGGUUACAAUCAAAUCCUCCUCAAGAUAUUUCCAAGACAGCCGUCAUCACGCCGUUUGGUCUGUUCGAAUGGCUUAAGAUGCCGUUCGGUCUACGUAAUGCUGCACAAACAUUUCAAAGAAUGAUGGAUUCUGUCCUAAGCGAUGUUCCUUUCCUGUUCGUUUACUUGGAUGAUGUGCUGGUGGCUAGCCCAUCUCAGAGUGAUCAUUUAGUGCAUCUGAGGACUUUAUUCACUCGUUUGUCAAAUAAUGAGUUGGUGAUUAAUCGCAAGAAAUGCUUGUUUGGGGUUAAAGAGAUUUCGUUUCUCAGACACUUCAUCUCUUCGAACGGCAUUGCUCCUUUACCUCAACAAGUUCAAGCCAUCAAAGAUUUUCCACUUCCGGAGACGGCCAACAAACUCGGAGAAUUUAUCGACCAUCUUGGCAAAACUUUUUGCGAACUGUGGCAACUUGCCUUCCUUUUGGUUUAGUGGCUGCUGCCAUUCCCUUGGGAUUUGUCAAUUUUGAUGGAAUAACCUCAACUGUUUCAUUAGAUCCUAUAACUGUCACAAUGACUGUUACAACGACAACUACCGAAGAGGUUGAAGGGGGGCCUGUUCCAUUCCUACCUUUUAGAACAUUAACAACUACACGGCCAGAAGGGGAGGAAGUCAUCAGCGUUCAGCCAACGGAUCUACUCUAUCAAAACCAAAUUCCCAUUGGGUGCUCCUCCACAUCAGGGAAUUGUUCUAGGUUGCACUUAUCUCCUUCACCUGUGUUGGUUGGGAAUGGAUCAACAUCUGAUUUGGCUUUCGUCAAACGCCAUCUUGCCAAUUGGACUUCGGUUGACCCAAAAUCAAUGAACGCGAUUCCAUCUAGAUUGGACGAUAAAGUGAAUCUACAGCGAGAAGGCAAAAACGUAGAUGUUGUAAUGCCACUUGAUGACCCACCUCACGAGUAUAGCGUUCAAAGUGGUGUCAACACUGAUGCAAAUAUCGACAAACCAUCCCACAGAGGAGUGGUAGAAAAAAAAUAUCUUUGACUCAAACAUGUCUGAAAAAUACCCAAUAUCUUAGAUUUGAAAUUGUUGCCAAAUAAAUGAUAACAAG